GUGUCUCCUAGAGUUCCCCUUAACGCUUCAUUGAGGACUCUGUUUAGCUCAAUUUUGACUUGUCUUCACUGAAGUGUUUGGGGGAGCUCCUGGUGCCAU
rfam:Cajanus cajan CcLG01_736, whole genome shotgun sequence.